GAAAGUAAAAAAGGGCGCAUGGCGGAUGCCUUGGCUCUCGGAGGCGAUGAAGGACGUGAUAAGCUGCGAUAAGCUUUGGGGAGGUGCAAAUGACCUUUGAUCCAGAGAUUUCCGAAUGGGACAACCCAAUAUCUUGAAGAGGUAUUAUCCAACGUUGUUGGAGGCUAACGCAGGGAACUGAAACAUCUUAGUACCUGCAGGAAAAGAAAAUAAACAAUGAUUCCCCCAGUAGUGGCGAGCGAACGGGGAACAGCCCAAACCAUCCAUGUUACGGCAUGGGUGGGGUUGUAGGACUACGCCGUUGCAUGAAGACAUCAGAGAAGAACUUUCUGGAAAGAAAGACCAUAGAGCAUGACAGUUGCGUAUUCGAAUGUUGUCGAAGCAUAGUAGUAUCCUGAGUAGCGCGGAGCACGAGGAAUUCUGCGUGAAUCUGCCGGGACCAUCCGGUAAGGCUAAAUACUCCCGAGAGACCGAUAGCGAACCAGUACCGUGAGGGAAAGGUGAAAAGCACUUCGAACAGAAGAGUGAAAUAGUUCCUGAAACCGUGCGCCUACAAGCGGUCGGAGCUCGUUAAUGAGUGACGGCGUGCCUUUUGCAUAAUGAACCUACGAGUUGCCUUUGCCGGCAAGGUUAAGUGUGACGACACACGUAUCCGAAGCGAAAGCGAGUCUGAAUAGGGCGUAUAGUCGGCAGUGGCAGACGCGAAACCAAGUGAUCUACCCUUGGCCAGGUUGAAGGCUGGGUAACACCAGCUGGAGGACCGCACCAAUAAGCGUUGAAAAGCUUCUGGAUGAGCUGAGGGUAGGGGUGAAAGGCUAAUCAAACUUGGAGAUAGCUCGUACUCCCCGAAAUGCAUUUAGGUGCAGCCUUGCGGGUUACUGAUGUGAGGUAGAGCGACUGAUAAGAUGCGAGGGCUUCACCGCCUAUCAAGUCUUGACAAACUCCGAAUGCGCAUCAGUUCUACCGCAGGAGUGAGGGCAUGGGUGCUAAGGUCCGUGCCCGAGAGGAGAAGAAUCCGGACCACCUGCUAAGGUCCCGAAAUGACAGCUAAGUUAAACUAACGAAGUCUGACUGCUAAGACAGCUAGGAUGUUGGCUUGGAAGCAGCCAUUCAUUUAAAGAGUGCGUAACAGCUCACUAGUCGAGGAGUCGGGCGUGGAUAAUAAUCGGGUAUCAAGUUGUCUACCGAAGCAGUGGGAUCAUUUAUAUGAUCGGUAGGGGAGCAUUCCAGUCAGCGUCGAAGGCGUACCGUGAGGUAUUCUGGAGCGUCUGGAAAAGCAAAUGUAGGUAUAAGUAACGAUAAAGGGGGCGGGAAACCCCCUCGCCGAAAGACUAAGGUUUCCUGAUCAACGCUAAUCGGAUCAGGGUCAGUCGGGUCCUAAGGCUCAGCCGAACGGCGAUGCCGAUGGCAGAAACGGUUAAUAUUCCGUUACUACCUUCAGGAGUGACGUGGAGACGCAGUAGUGACAGUGCCGCCAUCUGACGGAAUAGAUGGUUGAAGGGUGUAGGAGUCGAUCAUGGCAGGCAAAUCCACCAUGAGAUCCGAACCUGAUAGUAUGCCGCGUCCUUCGGGACAAGGCAAUAGUGCGCGUAAGCAUGCUGCCGAGAAAAUCCGCUAAACUUAAUCCUGCAGGUACCCGUACCGCAAACGGACACACGUAGUCGGGUUGAAUAUACUAAGGCGCUUGAGUGAUUCACGGUUAAGGAACUAGGCAAACUGACCCUGUAACUUCGGGAUAAAGGGUCCCUACCCUUUUAUGGGAGGGCGCAGAGAAUCGGUCCAGGCAACUGUUUAACAAAAACACAGGGCUGUGCCAAAUCGAAAGAUCCAGUAUACAGCCUGACACCUGCCCGGUGCUGGAAGGUUAAGAGGAGAUGUCAUCGAUAAGAGAAGCGUUGAAUUGAAGCCCCAGUAAACGGCGGCCGUAACUAUAACGGUCCUAAGGUAGCGAAAUUCCUUGUCGGGUAAGUUCCGACCUGCACGAAUGGUGUAAUGAUCUGGACGCUGUCUCAACCGUGAGCUCAGUGAAAUUGUAGUAUCGGUGAAGAUGCCGAUUACCCGCGAUGGGACGAAAAGACCCCGUGAACCUUUACUAUAGCUUAUCAUUGAAUCUGGGCACGUGAUGUGUAGGAUAGGUCGGAGGCUUUGAAGCAGGUACGCCAGUAUUUGUGGAGCCGCUGUUGAAAUACGACCCUUUAUUUGUUUGGAUUCUAACCCGUGGAACGGGGACAUUGAUUGGUGGGUAGUUUGACUGGGGUGGUCGCCUCCAAAAGCGUAACGGAGGCUUCUAAAGGUGCCCUCCGGCCGAUUGGUAACCGGCCUUAGAGUGUAAUGGCAUAAGGGCGCUUGACUGGGAGACUGACAAGUCGAUCAGGUAGGAAACUAGAGCAUAGUGAUCCGGUGUUUCCGUAUGGAAGGGACAUCGCUCAAAGGAUAAAAGGUACUCCGGGGAUAACAGGCUGAUCCCUCCCAAGAGCUCAUAUCGACGGAGUGGUUUGGCACCUCGAUGUCGGCUCGUCACAUCCUGGGGCUGGAGAAGGUCCCAAGGGUUGGGCUGUUCGCCCAUUAAAGUGGCACGCGAGCUGGGUUCAGAACGUCGUGAGACAGUUCGGUCUCUAUCUAUCGUGGGCGCAUGAAAUUUGCGUGGCUCUGACACUAGUACGAGAGGACCGUGUUGGACAGACCUCUGGUUUGCCGGUUGUGCCGCCAGGUGCAUUGCCGGGUAUCUAAGUCUGGAUCGGAUAAGUGCUGAAAGCAUCUAAGUACGAAGCCGGCCACAAGAUUAGAUUUCUCAGGGUCGUUGUAGACUACGACGUUGAUAGGAUGCAGGUGUAAAGAUGGAGACAUCAAAGCCGAGCAUUACUAAUUGCCCGUUCACUUUCUUUA
rnacentral:rRNA from 1 species